GACAGAGGGAGCCCGACUCCCGUGCCUCUGGCAUGAGGAAAGUCCCCCCACCGGCCGGACAGGCGACCGGGCACACGCCCGGAGUCGGAGACGGCUGGCUCUGGAACAGCAACGACACCCCCCGCCCCGACCGAUGAGUCGCGUGCGGUCGCCUCGGCGACCGACGGCGUUCGCGGGGUCACCCGCGAACGCGCGAACCGACCCGCGAGGGAAGGGAGUUAACCCGAUGAGGGCAGCGUGGCUUUGCCACGUUAUAGACGGGCGGGAACGGAUGGAACGGCGAAUCCUCGCCGGUGCAAGUCCGCGCCACAAGGUAGUCCGGCCACGGCGCGGACGCUCAGCCGAAUGUCGGGACGAACCGAAGGGGGCUUACUCCCCUCAGUC
rnacentral:RNase_P_RNA from 1 species